rnacentral:rRNA from 1 species
UACGUAGGGGGCAAGCGUUGUCCGGAAUUAUUGGGCGUAAAGAGCGCGUAGGCGGUCCGAUAAGUCGGCUGUGAAAGUCAGGGGCUCAACCCUUGAAAGCCGGCCGAUACUGUCGGACUAGAGUCCGGAAGAGGCAAGUGGAAUUCCCGGUGUAGCGGUGAAAUGCGCAGAUAUCGGGAAGAACACCUAUGGCGAAGGCAGCUCUCUGGGACGGUACUGACGCUGAGACGCGAAAGCGUGGGGAGCGAACAGG